rnacentral:rRNA from 1 species
UACGGAGGGUGCAAGCGUUGUUCGGGAUCAUUGGGCGUAAAGCGCGUGUAGGCGGCUUGGCAAGUCAGUUGUGAAAGCCCGGGGCCCAACCCCGGAACUGCAUCUGAAACUGCCUGGCUAGAGUCCCGGAGAGGAAGGCAGAAUUCCCGGUGUAGGGGUGAAAUCCGUAGAUAUCGGGAGGAAUACCAGCGGCGAAGGCGGCAUUCUGGACGGUGACUGACGCUGAGACGCGAAAGCGUGGGGAGCAAACAGU